AGGAUUAUAGUUAAUUAUAACAUUUAGGUUGCAUCUAAAAGGUAUUGUGUAUCACAAUUAAUCUUA
rnacentral:tRNA from 1 species